rnacentral:rRNA from 1 species
CCUACGGUGGGCAGCAGUGAGGAAUAUUGGUCAAUGGCCGAGAGGCUGAACCAGCCAAGUCGCGUGAGGGAAGACGGCCCUACGGGUUGUAAACCUCUUUUGUCGGGGAGCAAAGCGAACCACGUGUGGUUCAUUGAGAGUACCCGAAGAAAAAGCAUCGGAUAACUCCGUGCCAGCAGCCGCGGUAAUACGGAGGAUGCGAGCGUUAUCCGGUUUUAUUUGGUUUAAUGGGUGCGUAGGCGGAGGUUCAAGUCAGCGGUCAAAUUGCGGGGCUCAACCCCGUACUGCCGUUGAAACUGCAUCCCUUGAGUGCGCGAGAAGUAUGCGGAAUGCGUGGUGUAGCGGUGAAAUGCAUAGAUAUCACGCAGAACUCCGAUUGCGAAGGCAGCAUACCGGCGCGCAACUGACGCUCAUGCACGAAAGCGUGGGUAUCGAACAGGAUUAGAUACCCGGGUAGUC